rnacentral:rRNA from 1 species
GUGAGGAAUAUUGGGCAAUGGGCGCAAGCCUGACCCAGCAACGCCGCGUGAAGGAAGACGGUCUUCGGAUUGUAAACUUCUUUUGUCAGGGACGAAUAAUGACGGUACCUGGCGAAUAAGCCACGGCUAACUACGUGCCAGCAGCCGCGGUAAUACGUAGGUGGCAAGCGUUGUCCGGAUUUACUGGGUGUAACGGGCGAGUAGGCGGAUUUGCAAGUCAGGUGUGAAAGCCCGGGGCUUAACCCCGGGUCUGCAUUUGAAACUGCGGAUCUUGAGUAUCGGAGAGGCAGGCGGAAUUCCCGGUGUAGCGGUGGAAUGCGUAGAUAUCGGGAGGAACACCAGUGGCGAAGGCGGCCUGCUGGACGACAACUGACGCUGAGGAGCGAAAGCGUGGGGAGCAAACAGGAUUAGAAACCCUAGUAGUCC